rnacentral:rRNA from 1 species
UACGUAGGUGGCAAGCGUUGUCCGGAUUUAUUGGGCGUAAAGAGCUCGUAGGCGGCUUGUCGCGUCGUCCGUGAAAACUCACAGCUCAACUGUGAGCUUGCGGUCGAUACGGGCAGGCUAGAGUUCGGUAGGGGAGACUGGAAUUCCUGGUGUAGCGGUGAAAUGCGCAGAUAUCAGGAGGAACACCGGUGGCGAAGGCGGGUCUCUGGGCCGAUACUGACGCUGAGGAGCGAAAGCGUGGGGAGCGAACAGG